rnacentral:rRNA from 1 species
UGCAAGUCGAACGCGCAGCGAAAGGUGCUUGCACCUUUCAAGCGAGUGGCGAACGGGUGAGUAACACGUGGAUAACCUGCCUCAAGGCUGGGGAUAACAUUUGGAAACAGAUGCUAAUACCGAAUAAAACUUAGUAUCGCAUGAUACAAAGUUGAAAGGCGCUACGGCGUCACCUAGAGAUGGGUCCGCGGUGCAUUAGUUAGUUGGUGGGGUAAAGGCCUACCAAGACAAUGAUGCAUAGCCGAGUUGAGAGACUGAUCGGCCACAUUGGGACUGAGACACGGCCCAAACUCCUACGGGAGGCUGCAGUAGGGAAUCUUCCACAAUGGGCGAAAGCCUGAUGGAGCAACGCCGCGUGUGUGAUGAAGGCUUUAGGGUCGUAAAGCACUGUUGUAUGGGAAGAAAUGCUAGAAUAGGGAAUGAUUCUAGUUCGACGGUACCAUACCAGAAAGGGACGGCUAAAUAC